AGACGUUCUCCGGAGCAGUAUCUGCUCCGAUAUAUAACCACGAACUUGGACGUUUCGCUACAAGAAAACGAGGAUCCUUCGUGGACACAAAUUGAACGAAGACGUAGUACGUUCGGUUUCGGAACUUAACUAGGGCCGUUACGAAGCGAUGUUGGUAAUUCGGCAGCUUCUAAUGACAGAAUCUUGUUUGGUGAAGCGCAACGUUAUACGACAAUUUUUGCAUAGUAACUGGAAUCCUUCUAAACCACGGAUCGUUGGUGUUCUCUUUAAAUACGUGACUGAAUUGAGCGGGAUAAGAACUUAGAAUCGCCAGUGCCUACGACUGUGUAUCCGAGGUCCUCGACACGACCUUUCGAAUGAUAUGUCUAUAUUGAGAACUGUAUGAUAGCAAUGACGCUGGUGCAUUCAAAGACUCGAACGAACACCAAAAAAUAGAGGAACAACUUGGAAAAUCUAUGGAACGAAUUUUUUUUCUACGUAUAUUCAUCUUCGAGACACAAGUACACAGGGAAAUUUAUUUAUCUCGCCACUUGCUGAACAAUUUUCUAAUCAGUCUCAGUAGAUCGCUCGGUGAACUUUAACCUAUUGUGCGUUCUUAAAUGCUAAUCGAUAAGUUUCAUAGUUCCUAUACAAUCUACUAUUACUGAAUACUUGAUAUACAUGUACUAACCAUCUCUCCUAG
rnacentral:misc_RNA from 1 species